AUGUCCUCACCAUACAUUCCCACCCUCCACCACGAACAAACCGCUAAGGCUCCCUUUCUAUUUUUGCAGUCGCCACUGCCACCAAAAAACGACAAGUUUGUUAAGAGUUUUUUGCACACCUCAAACUCAACAAUGGUGGAUGCACCUCUCUCCAUUGUAAUUGCUCCUUCGAUGUUGAUAAUUUGUCCACCCCUGAAGUCGUCAUGGUUAUUUUACACUAUAAUAUUAUUUCUUCUAUCAAAGUUGUUUAAUUUUGUUUAUGUGUUAUCUGUCUUUUAG